rnacentral:lncRNA from 1 species
UUUUUUGGUGGUAUCUUUGUCUUAUUUUGGAUUUAGGGUGAUGGUGGCGUCAUAGAAUGUCUUGGGAGUGUUCCUUCUUCUUCAGCCUUUUGGAAAAGUUUAAGGAAGAUUGGUAUAAGUUUCUCUUUGAAUGUUUGGUGGAAUUCACCUGUGAAGCCAUCUGGUCAUGGACUUUUAUUUGUAGGGAGUGUUUUUAUGACAUAUUCAAUUUCAUUUCUCAUAAUUGGUCUGUUCAGUUGAUCUAUGUCUUCUUGAUUCAGACUGUAAGUCUCUAGAAAUUUGUCCAUUUCUUCAAGGUUGUUGCAUUUGUUGGCAUACAAUUGUUCAUAGUAUUCCCUCAUUUUUUUUGUAUUUAUGUAAUAUCCGUUGUGACUUCUCCUUUUCAUAUUUUGUUUAUUUGGGUUUUUUCUCUCGUCUUCUUACUGAGUCUGGUCAGCAGUUUCUCAAUUUUAUUUACCUUUUCAAAGAACCAGCUCUUGGUUUUAUAUGUUUUUUCUAUUUCUUAAUCUCUAUUUUAUUGAUUUCCUCUCUGAUCUUUAUGAUUUCCUUCCUUCUGCUGACUUUAGGUUUUGUUUGUUCUUCUUUUUCUAAUUCAUUUAGGUGAUGGGUUAAGUUGUCAAUUUGAGAUUUUUCUUCUUUUUUGAGGAAAGCCUGUAUUGCUAUGAACUUCCCUCUGAGCACUGCUUUUGUGGCAUCCCAUAAAUUUUGAGUAGUUGUGUCAUCAUUAUCAUUUGUCUCGAGGUGUUUUUUAAUUUCCUUCUUGAUUUCCUCAUUGACCCAUUGGUUUUUUGGUAGCAUGUUGUUUAGUCUCCAUGUUGUCAAUUUUUUCUCAUUUCUUUUCCUGUGAUUGAUUUCUAGUUUCAUGCCUUUGUGGUCAGAGAAGAUACUUGAAAUAUUUUCUAUACUCUUAAAUUUGUUGAGGUUAGCUUUGUUCCCCAGUAUGUGAUCAAUUCUUGAGAAUGUUCCAUGUGCACUUGAAAAUAAUGUAUAUUCUGAUGUUUUGGGAUGUAAUGUCCUGAAAAUAUCAAGUAAGUCUAAAUUUUCUAUUGUGUCCUUUAGCAUCUCUGUUGCCUUACUGAUUUUCUGUCUAGAGGAUCUGUCCAUUGAUGUGAGUGGGGUGUUAAAAUCUCCUACUAUGAUUGUAUUCCCAUCAAUUUCUCCUUUUAUGUCUGUUAGUAUUUGUUGUAGGUAUCUGGGUACUUCUAUAUUAGGGGCAUAUAUAUUGAUGAUUGUAAUAUCCUCUUCUUGAAUGGAUCCUUUUAUCACUAAAUAAUGACCUUCUUUUUCUUUUUUUAUGGCCUUCAUUUUAAAGUCUAUUUUGUCUGAUAAGAGUAUUGCAACUCCUGCUUUCCUGUCUUGUCCAUUGGCAUGAAAUAUCUUUUCCCAUCCCCUCACUUUCAAUCUAUAUGUGUGCUUUGUCCUAAGGUGAGUUUCUUGUAGACAGCCGAUUGAAGGUUUUUGCUUUUUUAUCCAAUCUGCCACUCUUUGUCUUUUGAUUGGAGCAUUGACAUUUAAGGUGAUUCUUGAUAGAUAUGUAUUUACUGCCAUUUUAAACCUCGUUUUCCAAUUGAUUCUAUAUUUCUCUUUUCUUUUUUUGGCUGGAUGGCUUCCAUUUAUUUUAUGCUUGAGUACUUUUACAUUCAGGUUUUGUGAAUUUAAUUUUUGGUUUUGAUUUGUGGUUGCCCUGUUUUUUAAAUAUGCUAACCCCUUCCUAUAUCUGAACCUAUAUGACAUUCACGCUAAAGCAAGAAAACACAUCAUUAAAAUGAAAAAAUGAAUCUAUAUUUUCCUACUUUCCUUCCCCACUUUGUAUGAUUUAAUGUCUUUUUUUUAACAUCUUCAUGUUUAGAUCUGUAUGCUGGCUUAUUUUAGUGAUUGCUUUCCAAUUGUGGUUUCCUCUUGAAUGUCCUUUCUAUCUGCUAGAUUGGAUGCUGCCUGAUUUGAAUCAAUUUUCUGCUCAAAUAUACUCUUAAAAUUUUUAGUAUGCUUUAGUUUAUCUUUUAAAACCAUGAAAAGCAAUACUAUUCAGCAACAAAAAGGAAAAAACUACCGAGAAUGUGUUACACCAUGGAUGAAUCUCAAAAAUUCUAAGGCAAGUAAAAGAACCAAAUGUAGGAGAUAUUAAAUGUUAGUGUUUUAAUAUGUACAUGAAAUAUUCAGAAGAGGUGAAUCUAUAAAUAAGAAGACAAUGAGUGUUUUCCCAGGGUGGUAGAGAAUGAGGACAGAUAGCAAAAGGGCACAAAAGAACUUUUAAGAAUCAUGGAAGUAUUCUAAAAUUGGAUUAUGCUGAAGGCAGCACAACUCUGAAAGUUAGUAAAAUUCAUUGAACUGUAUAGUUAAAAAAGAUGUAUUUUAUUGUAUGUAUAUUAUAUUUCAAUGUCUAUAAAAUAUUUAAAUUUCACUAAUGAAUAUGCAUAGAAAACUCCUAAGUAAAACAUAAGAAAAUAGAACUUAGUAGGGAUAAAAUGGUAAUAAAUAAUGAACAUUCAAUAUACCAGUAGAAAUACAUUAAAGGGUUAAUAUUCUAUAAUUAAGUACAUGCUGAAAAACUAAUUGAUAAAGUUAAUCAGUAGUUUCAAAUUUAAAAUAAAAAUCUAACUAAUGUUUGAAUUAAAAACUUAAAUGUGAUAUAUAGGUUGUUUACCAAAAACAAACAGUAGUCAGCACUCCAGCUGUGGGGAUGAAACAAAGCUCCAAGCCUCUUGCUUUUGGGAAGGUGGAUUUGAGACUUGUUCUCUCACAUCUUUGCUUGGCUGCCUUAUGAAUAAACUCUGUCUUUGCUACAAACAUCCUUCACUGUUUGGCUUUCUGUAUGUCAGGCAAAAUGCACCUGGUCCAGUAACACAACGAAGAGACUGAAAACUUGCUCAUUAUCACUAACAGUCAAGGAGAUGUAAAUUACAACACAGAAAUCACUGCAAUGCAUCAGAUUGGCAAAACUAUAAAGAAUAGAUACUCACUGUAGGACAAGGACUUAAAAACUAGGCAUUCACACACUGUUAGUAGAACUAGGAAUACUGCAUUGUUUUUGGAAAUAAUCUGAUGAUAUCUAUUGAAAUUUAAAAUACGUAAUGUUUGACCUGCGACUUGAUGUGGGGUGUUUAACCUAGAUGUAGAUGUACAGGAUGUUUAGGUGGUAGACUUGCUCUCUAACUCUGGGGUUAUUAAGUUAUUAGAGUAGUGAGAUUCAAUUUGCAUUUACAAAAUACCCUCAAAUAAUACCAUAAAUUUCUCAAGGAAUUAGUUAACAGAACUUUGUACAAUGAGAUAUUCAUAAUAGAAGGCAUGUGAGAAAAAUAACUCAACUAAGAGAGUAAUAGAUUUCCUCUCUAUAGACAAGUCUUCAUUCUUGUUUUCAGGCAUAUGAUUAUUAAAUACAGCAGCAAGUGGAAUGACCCACAUUGUUUAAAUUGUUUCUCUCCUACCUGAACAUGGAGACCAGAGUUAACAUCACUAAUAAUGGAAAAGAAAUGACACCAUCUGCCUCCUAGGGUAAUUCACUGAAUAGAACAUAACAGCAUUAUGCAAUGCUCUAGCCAAAAAUGCAUAAUCUGAAUCUAAUCCCCCCCCAAAAUAGAGAAAUCAUUGAGUGACUUCCUGCAAAACAAUGUCUUUCUCCUCAAAAUGCCAGUGUCAUAAAAGAUAAAAGGAUUAUUAAGCAUAUUUCAUAUGAAGAGAAGAUAAUGGAGUAUGGCAAGGAAACUAAAAGGCUACGACUGCCAAAUGCAUUUCAUGAUUUUGAAUUGGAGCUUAGAUUUUUUACAAAAUUUCUAUAAACAAUUGGUAAACAAUGAAAUUUGAAUAAGGGUGGUAUAUAAGAUACUCAUAUUAUAUUAAUGUUUAAUUUUGUGAAUCUGAUCAGAAAUGCUAAUAUUCAUUAUGAUAAAAUAUUUACUAGUAAAAGAGAUGUAUGCUGAAGAGUUUAGUUUAGGAGUCCACCAUUUUCAAAUAGCUCAAAAAAAUUAAGUGUACACUCACAUCCAUAAACUAAAAACUAGUAAAUCUAGGUGAAAUCUAUACAAUCAUUGUGAAUAUUUUGCAUAUUUUUGUAGUUUUAAAUGUUAUAAAAACAAAAAAUUAGAAAAAUAACUAGACAAGCUAUAAUCCCUAAUGUGUUAACUGGGUAUAUGAUGGUUUUUCAAAAUGAUAGAAUCAAAGGAGAAAGAGAGAUUGAAUUUUGGCAACUGUGGGGCUAGCAAGUGUGAAGUUUGUUGAGCAGUCUGGAAGGCUAGAAACUCAAGGAAGACUUUAUGUUGCCAAAUUGAGCCUGAAAUAUGAAGGUUGGAAUCUCAGGCAGGGUUUCUGUUUCAAUCUGGAGACAGAAUUCCUUCUUAAGGAAACUUCCGUCUUUGCUCUUAAGUCCUUUAAUUGAUUGGACAAGGCCUACCCACAUUAUGGAGGGAAAUCUGCUUUGUUCAAAGCCUACUGAUUUAAAUGUUAAUCAUUUCUAAAAAAUACCUACACAGCAACAUCUAGAGUAAGGUUUAAACAAACAAAUGGGCACCAUACCCUGGUCCAGACUGACAUAAAAUUCUCCAUCACAGAGAGUUAAAGAUACAGAAUAGAAUACAUCUAAGAAAAUGAUUGAGCUUUUAGCACAAAUCUGUCAUAUCUGUAUUGUUAAAGUCUUCUAAUCUUUUCUUUAUCACAUGCACACACAGAUACACACACACACACACACACACACACACACACACACAAAGAAGCAACACAAAGUGAAGUCCACUCAGACAAUUAUGCUGGUUGCAGUAAAUCUGAAUUACCAGGAAGUGGUAGCAGCAAUGUCCACAGCAGCAGCUAAUAUCCAAUGUCACCCAGGACAAAUUACCUGGAUGAGUAGUUGGACCAGUCCAGCAAAAUGACAUAGGGCAUUUUGCCUGACAAGAGUCCUAACCUUCAUAUUUCCAGCUCUCUCAGAGAUUCUGUGAACUACACAAUAUCCUCCUAAUUAUUUUUUUAAGUGCUUGACCCAGCAAAUGUCAUUUUUCUGUUGCUUGCAACUAAAAAUUCUGAUUGUGAAUGUGUUAUCAGGAAAAAGUGCAAUUAUUUACUUCAGCUAAGGGACAAGGAUAAGGCUGAGGGUAGUGAAGACCCUGUCAUUAAAUGGGUCUAUCUUUGCUAGAUGGUUACAAAAUGCUUAAUAAAAGUUGUAAAAUCAAAAAGUGUAGGAUGACCUCUAGAAUUCUGCAUGAACUUAGAGACUUCUUACUGUCUACAAUGAUGCCUACACUAAAGAAAGGAACAAUCUUAGGCUAAAGGUGACACUAAUUAAUAGCUAACUGGGAGAAUGCAGAUUUAGCAGAAUAUAAACCUAGGACAAGGAAAAAGUCAUAGCUUCCAAGAACUUCCUGGAAUUGAGUUGUGGAUUCUCUUCUUUAAAAAGAGGUUAAGGAGUUCCUGUCGUGGCUCAGUGGUUAACAAAUCUGACUGGGAACCAUGAGGUUAUGGCUUUGCUCCCUGGCCUUGCUCAGUGGGUUAAGGAUCCAGCAUUGCUGUGGCUGUGGUGUAAGCCGGUGGCUACAGCUCCGAUUAGACCCCUAGCCUUGGAACCUCCAUAUGCCAUGGGUGCAGCCAUAGAAAAGGCAAAAAGACAAAUAAAAAAUAAAAAAAUAAAAAGAGGUCAAGUCUGGUGGCAAAAAUCAGAUCGUGAAGGGUAUAGGUUUAAAUUGCUUCAGCACUGAAGCUAUUAAACCAGGGGACAUGUGGCAAGACAUCUCUAGAUACCAGAACCAAAGGUAUUUGUUUUGUUUUGUUUUUUCCUCAUCAUUAGCCAAUGACAUUAUUUAAAAGGAAAUAUACGAAAUUUCAAGGGGUCUGUAUUUCCAAAGCAACCCCAUAUUUGGCCUGUGCCAAUUUGCAACUAUUCAAGCCCAAGACGAUCCCUAUGUCCCUGAAUUUGCACCAACACAAAGAGGUUGCUAAAGUUAUGCAUCUCUCUAAAGAGCAUCCCAUCUUAUGUAUGGAAUAUACAGAAAAGAAGUUUGUCCCAGAAAAUAGAACCAGAGCCUUGUAGAUUUCUGACUAAAAUCAAUGAAAACACUGCACUCCUUGGGAAGAUAAGCCUCACCUUCCUAUCUAGAAGGACUUGACAUUGGCCAUGUACCAAUGACAUGAAUAUGUGUGUGAUGUACCCAUCUUCCCUUUCAUAAAUAGAAAUCUUCAUUAUAUUUACCUUAUUUAUUCAUCACUAAGGUAUACCGUGCUGAGAUAACAUCUUUUUCUGUAGUUCCCUAGAACAUGAAGAGCUCCAUGAAGACUUGAUAGAUAGGAUUGCUCCUAACCUGGAAACCCUGGACUUCAAAUUCAAUGAAGUAAAUAGAUGAAACUUGGAAUUGUUUCUUUUUUAGCAAAGGAAUGACAGAAUUCAUGGGGUAUAGCUAUUCUUUGAAGUAUAUUUUAAGACUAUAUUUGAAAAUAGACAUUGAGUAGACAAGUUAUAUCUGCUACAUGUGUAGAGUAUCAGUUUAAGAGAAAGAUAGGGAUGUAUAUACAUGUAUGUGUAUAUACAUGUACACUUAUAUGUACAUAUAUGUAUAUUUUUAGAAGAGUCUAGAAAAAAAUGUCAUAGGACAUAU